UUUCUAUCCAUCGGGUCAGUGGGUUAAUUCUCCAUCGGGGAAUGGAUCGAGCUCAUUUCUCCGUAUGUUUUGACAUCCUGUUUACAGCUAGGGUUUUCUCACUCCCUCACUCCCACUCCCACUCCCGAUCAGAGUUCCAGCAUCGAAAGCAGCUAGAGAUCAGAGUUCUCCGGCGAUCUCGUUGGCGCUUAACACAGUUCUCCAGCGUGGAUGUUAAAGAGUUAAUAAUCUGUCUCUGAUUCAAUCCCAAUUUUUCCCCUUGAACUCAAGUGGAAGUUGAGUUCAUCGUUCUUAGCCGAUCUGUAGCAGCAAAAGUCAAUACGAAGGGUUCAAGUGUAUAGAUGGAGGACAAACCAUAACCGCCCAACCAGCUGGAAUGGUGUAACCUGCAUUUAUCCCAAUUUUUAUGCUAAGGUUCAAAAUCGAACAUGCCGUCUCUUCAAACAGCAUUGCCUCCUGAACUCGC